GACAAUCCAAUAACAGUCCAUAUAUAUAUGAGAAUUUAUAAAGAAAUUCCUUGUGCUUAUACUAAACCUAAAAGAGGUUAGUAGAUAUAGAAUGAAAUCUAUACGGGUGUCUGGCUAAAAACGUCCAGCACACCAGCUAAGAGCAUCCGGCUCUCUGACCAAAAGAGUCCAGCCCUCAGGCUAUAAGCGUCCGGCCCCUUCUACCAAGGAUGUCCGACUCAUAUCCUUUGAUCACGGCUAGUAUAAAAGAUCAACCAACAGGUUGUAAUCCGACAUCAGAUCCCUUAAGGAUCCGGGAUAGCAGAAUAGUUUACAGCUGCUGUGUAACCUACACAAGACUUUGUCGUGAGAAUAAUAGGAGAUAUUUGAUCUACCCUUCCCGGUCGGAUACCAAAAGUAUUGUAAGCCCGUGGAGUCAAGAUCCAUGACCUAACAAUAUAUAUUAAGCGUGUGAUAUGAUCCACAACAACUAAGGUCAUGAGACGCCAUCAUAUGGCAUUACCUAAGGCAAAGGAAUCAAUGCCCACAUCCAUGAGUGUGUCCGGCCUAAGAGCCACAGCAAUGAUUGAUCUUGAACAUUCAUGAAACAAGUAGUGAACAUGUAUAGACAAGGUCUAUGACCUGGACAUAGAUCGACCAGAUUGAAACAUGGUCGAAUGAUAAACCAUAUUUAGUAUGCUGUCCAUAAAUACUUGGUCUGUCCGACCUAAGUAAAGGAGUUUGAUAAGUAGACAGUCACGUUUAGACUAUGGACAGAUGCAAACACGUUUUUGCAAAGACCAACAUGUGAUUCCCGAGGACAAUGUGGUUCACAUUGCUUAGCACACAUGCUUCAAACGGGACACUCAAUGUCAAGGGACAUGAGAAACGACCUAAGAGGUCUAAGUGGUCUUAAUUACGGUGCAGUAAUGAAACUGGCCGAUUACUCCCUUCCUACACAGACAAGAUAGAUCACGCAUCAAGAUGCGUAGUAUGUAGAACCUACACCGAGGUUCACAUCAGGGGGAGUAGUGCGUGUUGUACUCUUUUUCCUUCAUCAUGGUUUUGUCCCACUGGGUUUUCCUGAUAAGUUUUUAAUGAGGCAACAUUAAGCGUACUACAAAUCCUGUAUGGUUAUGGCAUCCAAGGGGGAGUGUUAUGAACAUUGUGGAUUGCCAUUAACCAAGACAAGAAGAGAUGGUCCAUCAGGCCACGACCAGGCUGGCCCAUCAGGCCACGACCAGGCCCAACCACAGCCGUGUCCAAGAGGAGAGAGAGUCGGCCUAUCCUUUGGCCGACCUUAGAUCUAGAUGUUUUCCAUUUAUCUGUUUUAGAUCUUUUCCUAUUUCAUGUUGUAUUAGGUUUUGGAUAAUUUUCUUUUUCCUAUUCCUUGUAACCCCUAUAUAAGGGAACACUUUGAUUGAGUAAUAAUAUACAGAGACAUACGAAAAUAUUCAGUCUAAAAACCCUUCGUUCACAACACUAAACCCUUUUUUUCUUAAUUAUGCCUCGACCGAGAAUAGGAAUAUAUAAAAUUAAGGAGCUAACUAACUGCAAUAAGCAAGAACAGAUAAAUCGAAAAGAACAUUGGAGUAUUGUUGUUUAUGGAUUUAGACUGAAGAAUAGAGACAUAAUGGUUUGUCUUAGCUUCAAGGGGGUUAAAUAAAAACCUAUGAGAGGUUGUCACAAAGAGCUAUAGAUAAGGAAACUUAAAUAAUGAAAAUGUCAAUUUACCUAUCGUAUCUAAGAUCCAUGUGUGUCUGAGAUAGUGACAAAGAGCCAUGUGUAUUUGAGAUAAAGACAAGAACCUUAACUGUGUCGUUGAAAAUAUCUAUCAAGUGAUGUGAAAGAAAAUCAAGAACCAAAGGGCCUUUACUAAACAUAUAUAUAAUGGGGGACUUUUCUCUCUUCUAAAAGCAUCCACGUAUGCAAAUAAUAAAGAUUGUAGGUCCCAUUUAUUGUCCGGUUUUGUUUGGUCGACUAGGUUAUGAAUUUGGUCUGAUUUCUGAGUUUAGCGUUUGGUUUGAUAGAUUAGUGAAACUCACGUUUAAUGUUAUCUUUUCUUCCAGAACUUAACCUCACCGUCUCUGCUAUUCAUAAUCUCAUCUCUUUGUCUUCCCAGUCGUUAUCUCUUGACCUUCCAUGUGGUUAAAUGUUUUUUUUUAAUUAUGCCAUAAUUGUUAUUCACAUUGAAUCCAGUAUUCACGUCGACGCCUCCGAUUCUUUCAUCUGAAAUCUAUAAAAAAAAAAGAAAAGAAGAAAAAAUGCAGCGAUCACGAAAUUGCAAGAUCUGUGGGAACGAAGCCAUACACUCUUGCCGUAUUCCGAUCCCUAAUCUCAAAGUUCUGUUCGUUUAUGAGUCGUCGCUAUUGAAUAAUUCGAUCUCGCGUUUUUACAAUGAGUUGAUACGAUAAGCUUCGCUCCAAUCUCUGUAGAUUUUCAAAUUUCCUCUUUUAUCAGAUCGUUUAGUUGAUCUUUUCACGAAUUUUGGAAAUCUGUUCUGUUUCUUCAAUGGAUAAGAAUAUUUUGUUUACCGAUGAUCUUCCUGAUGGUAAUUGAGAUUUUGCAUUCCGGUUUUAGAUUAAAAUCAAAUAUGUGUGUUAGGGUUGUAUGCGGUGUGUAUAUGUUUUUGCUUUCCAAAUCUCAUGAUUUCCUGAUACAAGAAUAUUUUUUUCUUUAAUUUGGAAAGAGAUUUGAUGAAUGAUUCAUUGUAACAUGUCUUGCAGGCACGAUCUCAGUGCUUCUCCAGAAGCAGAACAAUGUGGUGCAGUCUUCCGAGAUCGUGAUUGGGAGUGGUAUAUCUGCUAGGAACCUCUCUGAAGCUUCUAUUAACGUGACUGUUCUCGAAUCACACGAUAGGAUUUGUGGUCGAUCCACACUGAUUUCUCCUUUGGUUGUCCUGUUGAUAUGGGAGCUUCUUGGUUACAUGGAGUCUCCAACGACACCCCUUAGCUCCUAUUAUACGCCGUCUAGGGGUCACUCUAUACCGAACUAGCGGGGAACACUCCAUCUUGUAGAUCAUGAUCUCGAAAGACCCCUUUUCCUGCAUGUACGUCCUAUUAUUUUAACGAGUUAGUUGUUUGUCAUAAAAAUCAACUCUUAUAAGUAUAAUCUGGCUUUUUCCUAUCUCAAUUAUCGACUUUAUGACAUGCACGGGAAUAAAAUUCCGCCGCAGUUGGUCACUCAAGUUGGAGAUGCAUUCAUGAGAAUUCUCCAAGAGGUAAAAGCUUUGCAUUUUUGCUUGAGUUAAAAUUUAGAAUUAGCAUAUCCUUUUGUCGUAAAUAGAAUUUGACACAUGCUAGCUUGAUUCUAGACGGAGAAAAUUAGGGAUGAUACUGUUACGAGCAGGUACCUAAUAGGCUUCCCUUAAAUUAAAUAUGUUUCAUCUUUAAAUUUUAAUAUUAAAUGGUACAUUUUUUCUCUUGGUGAACACACAUGAAGUUUAUUUUAUUUACAAGGUUCAGAUUCUCGAGGUCUUGAGCCAAAAUGGCUGGUACUAUGUCUCUUGCACUCGCUGCAGCAAAAAACUAGACAGAUCUGCCGCAUCUCUCCGCUGCAACCAAUGUGUUAAUCACAAUGUCACCAAUGUAGUAAAGUACCAUGUUGAAUUAUUGGUUGAUGAUGGGAAUAACUAUGCCACUUUUGUUGUGUUCGACAAGGAGAUGCUUAAGCUCGCUAAGCAAGAUGCAGCUGCUCUUCUUCUUGAUGAGGUUUUUAUUUCUUCCCACCAACAUCUCUCAACACUCUAACAAUCACUCAAACCUCUAACUACUGCAGGUUAAUAGUGGUGUCGGCAAGAAACUCAAGGCAGAACUUGGAAGGACAGAUUUAGAUUUCCAUAUACGUGUCACUCCACACAAUUUCUCCCCAGACCACUGCACCUUCACCGUUUCCGCAGCCAGUGACAGUUUUAACACCGAGAGUUGCAACAUCAAUGAAACACCAUUUGUUGAAGGGAAAUGUGGGGACGCAUCCACUUCCGCUUCUGCCAGCAACACAUCUACGGCUGAUGUGAAAGGUGGACGCAUACACCCCCGUGAAUGAGAGUUUUUAAGCAAUGAAAACGUGAACCCAAACUCUGCUUGCGUUUCUUUAUAAUUUCUUAUAUUACUAUGCAUAUCCUAUUUCAUACUUUCCAGUUUUUCCUUAUUUUCAUGUUUUUUCAAAGCCAUUUACGGCUACAGACCUUAUCCGACGAAAACAGUUUAUAAGUUUUAAUUGUUUAAAGGGUUGACUUAAAAAUUAGUAUUACGGUUACAAAAUACGAUGAUACACCUUAACAUAAGUAAACAUGCAGUAUAGAAAUAUACAUCUCCUGCGCAUGCGCUAUCUUCAUUAGCAUUUUCAUUUAAAUAGAAUUUCCAACAUUAUACAUGUGCAUAACUAUGAAUUUACACAUCUCUACCCUUCUUAUUCAUCUCUUCUGAUAAUCACUACAAGUAUACUAACCAAACACUUGACUCCACCUCCUAUAACAAUUUCACGUACAACAUCUAUCUUUAACAUCUCCGCGCUUGCGCGGGGCUCCGCCCCUAGUUAAGAGAAUAAUUAAGAUGAUAAAAGACUGAAGUUACCCAAAGUGAUCUAAUCCAUACUCCGUUGAACCUUCGCUUGAGUUAACUAAAAAUGCUUAGUUUGAUGCCAAGAAACUGCAUUGAUGAAUAUUGUAUCACUCUUGCACACAACACGUUACCACCAGUCUAGAAAAUUUAGCUUUACAGAGACAGUCAAACCAAACUGAGCGAAAUCCCUGUUAACGGUUUAAAAUUCUAAUCAAAUGUGUUACUUUGUGAUCAAUGGUUAAAAAUUAAACUUCAAAACUGGUGGGUUGAGCCAGCCAAUGCAAUAGUGCAAAACAAAGGCAACUCCCAAAAACCCUGAUAGCAAGCUAUCUUAAUGGGCUUUCACCCUAAAAAAAUAGAGUUAAUAUCGUGUGGCCCGAUGGACCACAUAUCAGAUAUUAAACUGAUAAGAACAGAUACUACACUUGAUCUUAGCCAAAAGGCCGAGAAAGGUAUGAAUUAUUAGGACCAUCGAGCUUCCAUUAUAUACACAAGCUUCCAGAGUGAACGAUUCAUAGUUUAGCGAUGUGGGAUAAAUAACCAAACCUUUCUUCUUUAGCCUCGGCCACGUUGGGCAUAUUUAACUAAUUAAUGGGCCAAUUAACUUUAUUUUCAACAGUUUGAUAUCUAACUAAUACUAAAAGGGUUAUAUGAGGAGUAGAGAAGCUAUCCACGUCCUCAUUUUAAAUUAGCCAAUAGGGUGAGUUUAUUUGUCCACGUCACACUGGUGUUGUGCUGCUUUUUGCUUGAUCCGUAAAUUGAAGUAGUUGGCCCAUAAACCCAAUUCGAAAGAAACCCUAAAACAGCCGAGGCUGAGUCGAUGAAUUCAUAUGUCUUCAUCGUUCCAAAUUCCUCCAAUCCUGACCGUUUUACUCGCAACCCACUCUUAAUUAUUCCUUUAUGCUCCUUCCACCUUCCUCUCUUGCUCUUAUAUAAACCCGUCGUCAAAGCUUUCAUGGAAUCAUAUUCAACAACUUGGAUCGAUGGCCAUGAAAUCAGUUCAAUCCUCCGGCAAGUCUCCUCUUGCAUUGUAAUUCAACAAUCUCACACCAUGUUAGAGUUUUUAUUCUUUACCGAAGCUUGAAAGAGAAUUUAAACGUCCUCAGCCAGCCAUGUCGAAUACAUAAGUUCAAAAGAAUAUGAAGAGCCCAUCGUAUGUUUCCUUGGAUUUAUCUGUUUCAUCUUUUUGUUUCAACUGCUUUCUCUCUAUAUCCUGACAAAUUCAAUUUCUUUUCACAGCGGCUCCAGAUUCCUUGCCUUUAGUCUAUUCUGGCUCCUUUUGUGUAUGUUUAUAAUGGUAUAGUCGUUUCCAUAAUAUUUGAAGAUAUUUUUGAUGUAUUUUCACGUACCAGUUUCUAAGAGUCCUUUUUAAAGACAGAGGGAUGUUUGUGUUGGUUGUUUAGUUAAGCUACUACGACGCCGUACAAGUGGAGUUCUGGUGAUUUUCAUUCCAGUUCAUGUGAACUUAGGAAGCCAUUUUCAAAAGGUAGUGAAGAUCUGGUAAAAGCUCCGGCUACAAAUCCACCCGCCAAAGGUAUAGUGAAUUUUGAAAUCAAUAGUUCAGUCUAAAUCUGAACCAAGCCUUUCCAUUUUCUAGAUCUAGAAGUAUAUACUGUCAAUAUCGGCCAGAUCCCCUCAGCGCUAGCGUCAUGGACUACCGAAGCAAUCAACAGUGGAUCCUUCUGCCGCAUAGAUCCUGACAUGGAAACAUGGUAACAAUAGCUGGGUUUUAUUUGAAAACACGAUGUUUGCAAUUUGAUGUUUUAUUAAUAUGUCUCUUAUAUUUCUUCUGUGUAGGCUGAUCCCUAAACAGAAGCUACUAGACAUAGCAGAAAGCAAGAGCUCAUGGCUCGACAUGGUACUAUAUUUUUUCGUAACCUUCACUUAUGCCGGUUUUAUUUUUUCAAUUGGGAAAUUUUUCAUUUUAAAAUAUUUUUGCCUCAUCUUGAACUAACCUAAUUAGAAGGGGGAUUCAUGGAAUUCAUCAAUGUAGAAUCCAGAUCAAGACAGAGAACCAGAAGAUGCUAAAAAGUGUGUGUGUCUAUUAGUUGAAGGAAAUUGAUUUGAUUCCCCAUUUUGGAACUAAUCUAUUCUCUGACUGGAACAUAUGUAUAAGGAAGCUGAGGACCAUAAACAAAUGAUGCUUAGUCAAAUGUUGUGUUCCCAAGCCUGAGAGAGAAGUAAGUCCCAUCUAAAUGCUUGGAGUUCAUCUAUUUUUUUCUUCCUUUGUUUCUUUUGGGUCUGAAUUGUAGUUUUAUCCGUGGAAUAUUGUAACUGGUUCUAAGGCUAGCGUGGAUGCAUAGGUUCUUGGGAAUGAAGAAGCUUUUUUUUUUGCACCAGAGAGCUUUGGUUGUUGUUGUUACCAUUUCAAACCAGUUUAUUUAUUUGUAGAUGUUGUAGGCCACAUACAGUCUGUCCAAGGCUCGGCUCUCAACAACGUCACCGCAACUACUCGAGUUGUAGUCCAUUUUCUCAUUUCCCCGUAAGCCCUCAUCAAACAUUUUGUUGCUUUGAUUUUCACUUAUUCGGUCAAAUUUUAAAAAUAAAUUGAACACACUCCUUCAACAGAACUGUGGUGGUGUACUUUUAGGAGUUCAGUAUUAUACCUAGCUCAUGGUUCCGAACUUGCUGUGAUUCUGGUCAUAGAUGCAACUAUUGGUGCUUUUGAAGCGGGCUUAGAUAAUUUGAAAGGGCAGACAAGGAGCAUACACGGGUUCUUAUAGCUUUUGGUGUGGAGCAAGUCAUAGUCACAGUCAACAAAAUAGAUAUUGUUGCGUAUUUAACGGCCAUAUUUGAUUUGAUUAAGCUAGCAUUAGUUGGUAAUCAAGCCUAUAAGACGCAGUCAAAGCUUGGAGAAGCAAAGAGCAAAGCUGAGAAUUUAAAGAAUUAAGCUCAGGAAUCACAAAACCAUUGUGUUGGGGUCCAAAAAGUAAAGAGUUUCAAGAAGAGAGUAAUAAUGACCAUAAUGGUGUAAGAAGACACUAUUAUAUGGAGUUCUUAUCUUUGUGCUUGCAGGAAAAGUUGAGGUUGCUCAGCAAGCAGUAAAAUGUUUGAUGAACCUGGAUCCAGAUGACACUUGUGGUUAUGUGCUCAUGUCUAAUACUUAUUCUUCUUUUGGGUUGUUAGAAGAGGCGGUUGGACAGAGGGUUUUGAUGAAGGAAAGGCAAAUGGAGAAGGAAAUAGUGUGCAGUUCAAUGGAAACGAAGUUCACGACUUUGUUUCUUGCGGUGAAAGUCACCCUGAAUCCCCAGAGAUUUACAGUUUACCCGGUGUGUUAACUGGGAAGCCUCUGCUCUAAAAUCAGAAGGUACUUCUCAGUUUAGUGACCAUCUUGGUUAUUUAAAAGGCACCAUAUGAUCUGAUGCCAUCGCAUAAGAAUCAAAACAACAAAUUCAGUGACAAAGUAUAAUCUGAAUUUUGAGCUGGUGGACGAAGAGGAUUGCUGUUACUUCCAAGCAACCAAAAAACACGUUGUACAAGCUCGAGGUGGAGACAUCUUUGAUGUUUACAGAAAGAAAAGAGUCAACCAGAAAAUUUUGAAACUUUGUAGAGCGUUUUUCUCAUGACUUUUUUUCUGUAUGCAAUUGUUGGAGACUUGGAGUUUAUAAGAAAAAUAAUGUUUGUUCAACGACAAGUACUGUUGUUUGGUUUGUCUGGAUUCAUCAUUCAUGUAAUUAUUAUUAUUUCUUCUUUUAUGUGUUUCCUCUUAUAAAUGUACUUGAAUUUCUCUUAUGCUAGAAAUCUGCAACUAGAAUGGGUUUCACUUGGCUAACAAAGAAAUUAUCAGUCUUAUAGUUUUGGGAUGUAUUCAAAGGUUGUCUUUAGGAAAUGACAAUUCAGUAAUAGUAAUUACAUACAAGAUUCCCCCUCUUCUAAAC